rnacentral:rRNA from 1 species
UAGGGAAUCUUCCGCAAUGGACGCAAGUCUGACGGAGCAACGCCGCGUGAGUGAUGAAGGUUUUCGGAUCGUAAAGCUCUGUUGCCCUAGACGAACGAGUCAGAGAGUAACUGCUCUGGCUGUGACGGUAUAGGAGAAGAAAGCCCCGGCUAACUACGUGCCAGCAGCCGCGGUAAUACGUAGGGGGCAAGCGUUGUCCGGAAUUAUUGGGCGUAAAGCGCGCGCAGGCGGUUCAGUAAGUUGGAUGUUUAAUGCCGGGGCUCAACCCCGGUACGCAUCCAAAACUGGUGGACUUGAGUGUAGGAGAGGAAAGUGGAAUUCCACGUGUAGCGGUGAAAUGCGUAGAGAUGUGGAGGAACACCAGUGGCGAAGGCGACUUUCUGGCCUAUAACUGACGCUGAGGCGCGAAAGCGUGGGGAGCAAACA